AAAAAAAAUGAGAGGGGUAGAAAGGAUAUGAGAACAAAAGAAAAUAAAAAUAAACAAAAGCUUAAAAUAGAAGUGUGGAGAAGGCAUUUUCAUACAACACAGACCCAGGAACAUAAAAAUAUAUGAGGUGACAGGAUGCACUUCCAGUAUCAAUCCUGAUUUCCAUCUCCCAGUCCAGAUGACAGGAAGCACCAAAGUGUGCAUUGGCAACAGACACCUGAUUUACUGAAAUCAAGGAGAUACAGCCACCUUUCCAUGCUCAUUUUUCCCUUCUUCCUGCAGUUCUUGUGAGUUGAAGUACAAACUCACAAGGUAAUGCUUCCAGAGUGACUGAUCUGAGCAGAGAUCCCUGCAGUGAGGAAGAGCAGGGACAACCUUCCCUCCUGAUGCAAAAUGUUAGACUUCACCAUCCUGCAGUUUUCUGUGGCAUGAUCCACACACACUCAAUAUUGAUCUGCCUUCUGUAAAGGGAGAAAUUACAAAGGACACCAUUAUUGUCUUGAUAUUUUAUGGCCCCAACUUUGUAAUUACAGUCUCAAAGUAGCUUACUGUAUCAUGCUGCAGCACAGGAAGAAGUCAGGAACAGACAAAGGACAAUUACAAUAGAAAGGCAAUUACAUUUCUAAUGACUAGAAAAGGUAGGCAGCAUUUAUUUGGGGCAGAGUAACCAAGAGCAGCUGCUUUUCAGAAUAAUCCACUAUUUUCUGUUUUAGAAACAAACAGAACAGCAGUUUCCAGAGCCUUGCAUUGUACACAACUCCUCACUUUGAGCCCCAAACCUCUCCUGCAGAUGCCAAAGUCAAAUACAAGAGCCUGUUCAACCCUUCCAACCGCCCAUGGCAGCACCAAGCAGGCUGCAGGGGAACCACUGCCCCCCAAACCCCAUCCAGUCAGAUCAGGAGAGGAUUCUCAACAAACUGAGAGAAUUAUUCUGCCAAAUUCAGUGGUCUGUGGCCUCCAUCCUUUUCUGCACUGCCAAGGGGCAGCAUGUCCCAAAACAGAGCAGGACCAAGGACUCUCCAGGAUGACACAGUCUCUAGACGGGUGGCUUGCACAAAUCAGACACACCUCACUCCUACCUCACUAGCUCUAUUCACACUACUUCUUCAAAAAUUAAAAAAAUCCUUCCAUUUGUCCAGCACAUUGGAAAUCGACAGAAGAAUAAACCUUAUGUGAUAUUCCCAACAAGUCAGUCCUGGUCCUGCAGUGCCUUUCUGCCAGGGCAGCUGGCAGAGAGCAGUGACAACGUGGUAACACAGAACUGCUCUGACACCUUCUGGUGACAGAAAUGUGACAAACUCCAUCACAGCCCUCGGGACAGCAAUGGUGAGGACGGACCAGAGACUUGCUCUGGAUUUCUCCUCUAAACAUCAUCCACGAUGCAGUGGCAGCACUGAGCAGGAAAGGAGCCACUGCAAACCCUCAGCCUCUCAUUCAUGUCACAGACUCCUACUAAAUUUAAACUGAAUUAAAAAUCACGUAAUAUUUUAACACAGAAUCUAGAGAAAAGGCAUCCAGCUUUGUAUGCACAUCAUCUCCACAAUCACGCCUGUCAUUAAUCAUUACCUUUAGCCUCUGUUUAGUACCUUGAUAGUGAGAUGUUUUACUUUCUCCAACAGCAUUGUCAGGAGGAAUAGCAGGCUCCCAGCAUGGCACCACUGCCCAGGCCACACGAGACAAGAGAACAGUCAGCACCCUUCACCUGGAUACUCAGCUGAGACACGACCUGCACACAUCACUUGCACCAGCUCCACCUGUUGUGCAAUGGAUUUAAGGUUUUGAGAACAAGACCCAAGGAAAUGACCCCACACAGACCCUGCACUCGAGCCCCAGAGCUGAGCCUGUGCCCUGCAGAUGGAGCUCAGGAAUUUCACAGGAGCUCUCCGUGCCACAGAAGCCAGGCAGCCUCCACGCCCCGUGCAGCCAGGGAUCCAGGAGACUUUAUUAAAGGUCACAGGAAGAACUGAAAUCUUCACAACCAGCCAUUUACAUCCAGCUGCUCCGGUGACCAGCAUCAGUUCCCAAGAGGGAAAUGCCAGCAUGCAGCUCCAGAGUGACAGUCCUGUGGAUGAGACACUGCCACCUCAGAGGCACAGACAGUAGAACUGCCCCUGCUCCAAACAGGUCAUGUCUGAGAGAUUCUGCCCAUCUUUUGAGCUGGAAAGUGAGCUAGUUGGUCAGUAAAAGCUUUUAUUUCAAGUAAAUUAUGUGACAAAAUUUGAGUACAAACUUGAGUACAAAUUUUGUGGUUAAAAGAAUUUACAGUUCUAAUUAACAUGCAUAAUGAGCUAUUUAAUUUUGUGUAUCUGUAAAAAAAGCAGCUUCAUUCUGUGUUACCUACAGUGGCCUCACUCUGCCAUGAUACCAAACCCUACCAUCCCCUGCAGCACAAAGCACACCAGCAGAGAAAAUUUA